CAGUAGCCGCGGGAACACAGAGGGUGCGAGCGUUAAUCGGAUUUACUGGGCGUAAAGCGUGCGUAGGCGGCUUCUUAAGUCGGAUGUGAAAUCCCUGAGCUUAACUUAGGAAUUGCAUUCGAUACUGGGAAGCUAGAGUAUGGGAGAGGAUGGUAGAAUUCCAGGUGUAGCGGUGAAAUGCGUAGAGAUCUGGAGGAAUACCGAUGGCGAAGGCAGCCAUCUGGCCUAAUACUGACGCUGAGGUACGAAAGCAUGGGGAGCAAACAGGAUUAGAUACCCCAGUAGUCCCUGUCUCUUAUAA
rnacentral:rRNA from 1 species